rnacentral:sRNA from 1 species
AGCAAUUUGGAAGCCCAAGGUGGGUGGAUCGCUUGAGCCCAGGAGUUCAAGACCAGCCUGGGCAACAUGAUGCUGAAGAAUACCAGCCUCCAAUAUGGAAAUCAUACUUAUAUCAGUUACAGCAAGAGGCACCUCGUCCCAAGAGAAUCAUUUGUCCUCGGGAGGUGGAAAACAGACCAAAAUAUUAUGGAAGAGAGUUUCACGGGAUCAUCUCCCGGGAGCAGGCGGAUGAGCUUCUUGGAGGCGUGGAGGGUGCCUACAUCCUUAGAGAAAGCCAGCGGCAACCAGGAUGCUACACGCUGGCUCUGAGGAUCAAACGACUCCAUGUGAUGGCCUGGGGUUAAGCCCCACCUCUGCCUCGUUCCAGUCAUGUAAACUCAAGCAGGAACCGCCAUCUCUUCAAGCAUCAGUUGCCUUUGCAGUUUGGAAACCAGACCUUAAACUACAGGCUCUUCCAUGACGGGAAACACUUUGUGGGUGAGAAGAGGUUUGAGUCGAUUCACGAUCUGGUGACAGAUGGCUUGAUAACACUGUACAUAGAAACAAAAGCUGCCGAGUACAUUUCAAAAAUGACA